GACGAACGCUGGCGGCGUGCUUAACACAUGCAAGUCGAACGGUAAGGCCCUUCGGGGUACGACGAGUGGCGAACGGGUGAGUAACACGUGGGUGAUCUGCCCUGCACUUCGGGAUAAGCCUGGGAAACUGGGUCUAAUACCGGAUAGGACCAUGGACUUCACGGUUUGUGGUGGAAAGCUUUUGCGGUGUGGGAUGGGCCCGCGGCCUAUCAGCUUGUUGGUGGGGUAAUGGCCUACCAAGGCGACGACGGGUAGCCGGCCUGAGAGGGUGUCCGGCCACACUGGGACUGAGAUACGGCCCAGACUCCUACGGGAGGCAGCAGUGGGGAAUAUUGCACAAUGGGCGCAAGCCUGAUGCAGCGACGCCGCGUGAGGGAUGACGGCCUUCGGUUGUAAACCUCUUUCAAUAGGACGAAGCGCAAGUGACGGUA
rnacentral:rRNA from 1 species